AGAAAGGCAUUGGAGAAAAAUAUGGCAUUUAGACCUCUCAGAGCCGGGAGGGUGUCAGUCAUAGAAUGGAUGACGUCACAGAAUGGAUGAUGUCAUAGAAUGGAUGAUGUCAUAGAACGGGUGACGUCUCAGUCCAGCAUCGAGAGGCAAAGGAAGAUUGAAGUAGCAUGCACUCACAGGAGUCUUGGCAGAGACAACCAGGAAAGGGCUUAGACAGCUGUCAAACAAGUGGUUAAAAGGGCAGCAUUGUAGAGUGGAAAGCUCCUGAAUUGCAAGCAGAAACCUGGGCCCAAGUGCUUUUCAAGUCAUUGCCCAGAUGUUGUUGACAUCAGAGAGAUUUCAUAAAUACAAGGGUCACAACAGCUGUCACGAGGAUCCUAUGACAGAAGUACCUUUACCAGUUCUAAUUCUGGAAGUAGUUCUGUAAAUGUCAACUCUCUCCCUUUUCAAAAGAAUCUCUUAAUACCUUUGAGAAAGAGGUAACUGUUAA